GCGGCGGUGCCAGAGCGGUCAAAUGGGUCAGGUUUAGGACCUGAUGGCUUAGUGCCUUCGCAGGUUCAAAUCCUGUCCGCCGCA
rnacentral:tRNA from 2 species